rnacentral:rRNA from 1 species
UACGGGGGGAGCAAGCGUUGUUCGGAUUUACUGGGCGUAAGGGGCGCGUAGGCGGCCACCGCAAGUCGACUGUGAAAUCUCCGGGCUUAACCCGGAAAGGUCAGCCGAUACUGCGGGGCUAGAGUGCAGAAGGGGCAACUGGAAUUCUCGGUGUAGCGGUGAAAUGCGUAGAUAUCGAGAGGAACACCUGCGGCGAAGGCGGGUUGCUGGGCUGACACUGACGCUGAUGUGCGAAAGCUAGGGGAGCGAACGGG